rnacentral:lncRNA from 1 species
UUUUUUCUUUUGAACAUUAUCAAAUUGGAAUGUGAAAUUUGAAGCUAUCACCGUAGCCAUUUUGCUACCAGAUUGAAAAUAAAGCAUUACAUUGAAAAGGGCACAGCUAAGAUCAUUACAAAGGAGUGAAGCUAUUCCUAAUGCACUAAGCCUAGAGAACAUUCUACAUCUGGACUUUUCUUGAAAGAGAAUAAUUUUCUCACUGUUUAGUGCAGUUUGAGGGAAGGUAUUCUUUGACUUGCUGUGGAAAACAUAAUAUAAAAAGUGUGCAGAAGCCAGAUACUAAAAGGAAAGCCCCAAAGAGAGAAAAACCACAUGGAAAAUAUCUGUCCUCUAACCUCUGAGAGGUUUAUAAGAAAUAAUACAUUCAUCUUGAUUUUUUUUAGAUAAAUUGUUCUGGGUAUAAUGUGAAGAGUGGAGUACAGGAGGGGAGAUUCAGGGACAAGAUAAGCAAUCAAGAAAUGCUGCAAAAACAAAGGUGGUACGGGGGUUUGAACAAGCGUCGUGGUAGAUGUGGAUGCCCAGAUGUAGAUAGAGGCACAUGUUGGUUCAGCUCACUUUAAAGGGAAUGUUGCACACUUUCUAGGUGUACUACACUGUGUUAGAGGUUGAAGCUACAAAGAAUAAGAGUCUUUGCCUUCAAAGAGCUCACAGGUUAGCAAGAGGGAAAGACAGAUCAGCAAUUGGCCAAUAUAACAUAGUCAGUGUGUAGCUGAGGCUGGUGCACAGGUGCUAUGAGAGGACUUACUGAUGCCCCAGGGAGAAAGCAGAGAGGGGAGAUUUCUAGGGAAAAAACACACAAAAUAUUCAAUAUCUAUACUUUACAGCCUCCCAUCUACUCCUUAUUUUAUUGCAAUUUGACUUCAGCUCUUCUCAAUUAAAUUUCCCUCCCUGAGUCUUCAGAGGGAAUUUUAUACUAGAAUUGAAGAUGACCUCCUUCAGCUUAAUUAAACUGUCUUCAGCAGUUCUGUGUGAACUUAAAAUUCACUUCCUUGGAAAAGUGUUUCUAACCAUUUAGAUGGGGAAACAAACCCUCUCAGGUGCUCACAUGUCCUGCUCUAUAACCGCUAUCACCCCCCACAUGUUUUUUAAUGUCCAUCCAUUAUUUGUCCAUAUACAUCAUGGCUUGUUAACUCCCUGGGGACUGUUAACAUUUCAGGCAGGUUCACCAUUGAAUUCAGUUCCCUAGGAGUGUAUGGUAUUUACAAGGUGUUGGGUAAGUAAUUUACCCAUGAAGAAGAAGUAAAUGAAUGGAACACUGACUCUAUGACCAUAAUUAGAAGUUCAAUGCAGAGAGUGAUUGUGGAUAAGGGUGAAGAUGCAGCAGAAGUCAGCUCACCAAAUGACUUGAUACCUUCUUGUGCAGGUGGGAUACCACUGAGGGAAAAUUUAACUCAAGAGGUAGUAUUAACCUGCUGGGCUAGAAAAAGGAAAAUAUGAUUCCAGUGGAAGAGACUUUUCAACAUGGUUUGUAUUGCCUUGAUUCGUUCCUUAUUUACUAUGCACAUGAUACCAGUCAGGAAAAUGGUCCAGGGGGAAAACACUGCAGAUGAAAGUGGGGUGCCAGCCUCUCAGAGAAUGGACCUGAAAUUGAAGAGCUGGAAUGAACGUGAAGUUUAUCCACCUCAGUGGCUCCAAGAUAGAAACAUAAGGUGCCCGAGAAAAUUCAGAAAAUUCCCGAUUCCAGUCUCAGAAGACACUAAUUCACUAGGUGUGGGUGAGGUCUAAGAAUCUAUUAAAAGCCUUUCAGCCAAACCUGAUGGGCAAAGAAAACCUCUGAUCUACCUCAACUCUUUCAUUUGCGCAUAAAGAAACUGACCCCAGAAGAUGUGUUGCUACUGUUCAGCCAUUACUGGCCGAACAAGGAUUAUAAAUUCAGUCUCUUGACCCGGAGGCCAAAGCUCAUAGCAUUAAAUCUAAUGAGGCACAAAAGUUGGCCAGAAGUUGGAAGAACAAAAUUCCGAAGAGAUCAUGUAGCUUCGGUCCCUUAUAAUAAUAUAUUUGCGAAAUUAGUUUUUAGUUCCAGCCAUCUGAGCAACGAGCCACAUAGGUGAGAAGGGACCACAUAAUAAUUUGUAGCCACUUUGUUUAGGGAACUUGGAUCACAGUAAAUCUCACAGAUUUUCUAAACCUGUGUUGACAAAGGACCUGCAGACGGCAGGGUAUUUUACACCAAGCAGUGAGUUAUUAAUGACAUUAAUCAUGAGCAAUAAACAUCUGUUCUUCAGGAAGCCUAAGUACAGAAGAAAAAAGAUGGAUGAACAUUUUUGUGUUAAAGACUUGGACUAGGUGUGUGUUAACUCUAUUUAUUAUUAAAUGAUAGAGUUAUCAAAGGAGAUGGCUUGAUUGUUCUUUGGGGUGGGAUUUUUAGCUUAAAUGUGGAAGGCAUCAGAUCUCUUCAUUGAACACGGUGGAGGGUGAUAUGAGUUGAUGUCUCAGUAGAGCCUAGUAAGACCUCUGUCCUUUCAAGCAUUCCUCAGUCAGUCCCCAAGAGAACUGGUAUAAGUUUGGUCCAGAUCCUGUUUGAAAGUGUGGGUGGUCAGUCACCAUUCCCUUUAUUUUACCCAGAAACAUCAGCUAUCAUUCAACAUGCUUCUGCAGUGAAAACACUGGUCAAGAUCUUCCUUUAAUCCCUCGAGACAAGGACAAAGCAGUCCAUCAUUGUGGAAAAUGACUGCAUCACUACAGGUGACUGGCAGGUCACUAUCUCUACAAAGGCAACAUAAGUCAUUAUAUUAAUUAGGCUUUUCUGAAUUAUAUUUUAGCUUCACUUCCAACCCAUUGUUAAUUUUUGGUCAUUCUUUCACAGUUCAUUCACCCAGUGAAGGAGAGACAGCAAGCAUGUUUUUAGGUUUUCAACAGUUCUAAUAAUGUCUUUUUAAAAAUACAUACUAUGUGUGUGUAUGUUUUGUAUACAUUGUUUAAAAGUUAUUAAUUUACCAAACUUAGUAGACACUGCUUUUUCCCUAUGGAAGUAUACUUCCAAUAAUUAAUUAUUGACAUGAACACUUACCAUAUUUAUCAUAGGAGAGGAAAACCAAGUUACAAGAAAUCUGUGGAUAAUAAAGUAGCAAACAGAUUAUACUUAUGUUGGCCAAUGGGGACCUACCUGCUGUACAGCACAGAGAACUCUACCCAGUAUUCUGUGAUCAUCUUUGUGGGAAAAGAAUCAGAGAGAAUGGAUAUGUGUUUAUGUAUGACUGGAUCACUUUGUUGUGCAGCAGAAAUGAGCACAGCCUUGUAAAUUAACUAUACUUUGAUAAAACUUAAAAUAAUAAUAAAAGAUUACACUUAUGUUAGUUCACAAAGCAUUUUCUCUUUCAUGUAUUAAAACACACUGAUAACACUUGUUUGUAUUUUCAUCUGUUUGCUUAUGCAUUCAGUAAAUAUGGUUUGGGUGUUAAUUAAGUACACGCCACUAAGCUAGAUUUUUGAGGGUAUACAAAUUAAUGAGACAUAAUCUCUGCCCUUCCUUGAGGCAGACUCCACAGUAAAUAGGGCCUAAACAUGACCAAUGAUUCUACAGGAUUUCAUCUUUACACUGAGGGCAAUGGACCACUAUUGGUGGGCUGGGAGGGAGGAGAAGGGAUACAAUCUGCAUUUUUUUAUAUCAUUAAUUCUCUUUUCAGUUAUUAUUAUUAUUAUUAAAGUAUAGUUGAUUUACAAUGUUUCAUCAAGUUCUGUUGUACAAGAAAGUGACCCAAUCACACACAUUUCCCUGUGCUGUACAGUAGGAUCCCAUUGCCCAUCCAUUCAAAAUAUAAGAGUUUGAAUUUCCAAAACCCCCAAAAUGCAUAUCCAUCCCUCUCCCUCCUCCCCCCAGCUCCUGUAAACCACAAGUCUGCUCUUCUUGGCCAUGCUCUGUUUCUGCUUUUUGUUUGUUUGUUAUUUUUAGAUAGGAUCAUCUGUUCCAUAUUUUAGAUUCUACAAAUAAGUAAUACAAUAUGGUAUUUGCCUUUUUCGUUCUGGUGUACUUCACUUAAUAUGAGAGUCUCUAGAUCCAUCCUGUUGCUGCAAAUAGCAUUAGUCUGUCUUUUUUAUGGCUGAGUAAUAUUCCAUUGUAUAUAUGCACCACAUCUUCUUAAUCCAUUCAUCUGUCCAUGGACAUUUAGGUUGUUUCCAUGUCUUGGCUAUUGUGAAUAGUGCUGCUAGGAACAUACAGGUGCAUGUAUCUUUUUCAAUGAAAGUUUUGUCUGGAUAAAUGCCCAGCAGUGGAAUUGCUGGAUCAUAUGGUAGCUCUAUAUUUACUUUCCUGAGGCACCUCGAUACUGUUUUCCAUAGUGGUUGUACCAAUAUACAUUCCCACCAACAGUGGAGGAUUCAGAUUGGUAUGGGAAGAGAUUGGAGGGGACCAGCUGGACGGCCGUUGCAGGAAUUCAGGCAAGAAAUAAUGGCAGGUGGGCAUCACAGAGUCAGCGGGGGAAGAGAGAGAGAAGUACAUACAUUGGAGAGAUAUUCACAGCUUAAAAUCCCCUAGUUUGAGCAUUAAUGAGGUAGAGGCUAGUCCCAAACUUUAAUUUCAGCCUCUGGAGAGAUGACGGUGCCACUCACAGAGUUGUGACACACAGGAAGAAUAGCAGGUGUGAUCUUGGGGUAAUGAUGAGAUGCAUUUUGGGCAUUUUUGUACUGGAAAUGUCAAUAGGGAAGUCCAAAGGAAAUGGCUUCCUUUGAAGUAUAGGGGAGAUUUUUAAGUGAAAGAUGUAUAUGUGUACAUUCACACACACAUAAACACACACACACACACACACACAGAGAAACGUCAAGUCUAUAACAGCUACAGAAAAUCUCUGGGAAAGCCCCUCCCUAUCCAGAGAGUGUGUUUCCAGGGUAACAAGAAAAAGACAAGAACAACCUUGGGCUCCCAAGAUUUAGGUAGGAAUCAUCCCAAGAUGAAGAAGAUGAAAAAUGAGCCAGGGAAGUGGGAGGAAAGACAAAGUAGUGAGUUGUGGGAAAGUGCUGGAAACCAAAAGGCAAAGAAAGAGAAGGUGGCAUAGGGUGAGUCAGAGUCUUUUGGGACCUUGGCAGAGAAGCUUCACUGGAGACCAGAGGAGAGUUGACAAAGAAGGUGAGAAGGAGGAGAUAUUAGGUGAAAAUAAUGACUCCACAAAGUCCAACUAAUGAUAAAUGCUGUGAAAUAGCAUGAAGAUGGAUGAGGGCUCAAAGGGUGCUUUGAUUUGUGUGUGUCUGAAGACAAGAGAUGUUUCAAGAGCCAAGAAAAAGAAAUAUCAGAGCCUUGAAAGAAAGUAAGAGAAACUGAUGAAGCCAGGAAGUGCCAGAUGGAAAUGGAACUGGAGCCCUGGACCACUGAUAACUCAGAACACAUAGACAACAGGCUAAGGAGGCAGCCUUUCCCUUUAUUUUUUUAUUUGGGAAAAGUAUUCAGAAUAAAGCCACUUGGGUGACUCUGAUUUGAUCCACAGAGGUCCAUUUUUCCUAUUCAUUUAAUUAUAAUAUUCACUGAAGGUCUACCUUGUCCCAGUACUGCGCUAGGCACUCAAAAGGCACGGUGAUAAAUCGAACACAGUCCUUCCCCACAAGGAACCCACUGCUUUACAGGGUGGGAGUGGGGGGGUGGAGCCAAAGCGUGCACAUACACUAAUUCCAAGGCAAUCUCUGAUAAUUUUAGCAUUGAUUUAUAGCUUUCAAUGAGUACCAAAAAAGCCCUCUAUACCUAUUUCUUAGUCUACCUAUUCUAACAGUACUCUAAUACAAUUGCAAAUCACCAUCUCAUAAACGUUGACCACUGGAUGGCUAGAUUAGUUAUUAAUCUAGCCAGGGGGCUGGAAUUAAUUAACCUUAGCAGUGAACAGUAUUUUGACCUUGGUCUAAUCAGGCCAAUUUUCCACUCUGGAGAACAUGAUUAAUUAUCUGGUUCAUUCAGGGAAGGAACCCCAACAGAACAAAACAUGCCAACACACCAGAGUUUUUACCUUAAUUAUUAGGAUUACAAUGCAAUUUUUGACACAGUGUGCCUUUCCUCUGAUAAGAAAAUGCACGAUAAAAUCAAACAAUACUUUAGACCUCUAAAUAGUUAAGGAAAGAGAAGUGAAAAUUCAAUCUAAUUUGUCAGGAAAGGAGAUUUAUUUUGCUAUGAUAUCAAAUGUAUUCUUUUUAUUCACUUUAUUUCAUUGUAUUUUGCAUAAGCUACCCUUUUUAUAAGGCAAGAUGCAAGAUAAUUCUUUGCUAUUAAUAUCCUGUAUACCUAAUAGAAAAGAAGCUGAUAAACUCUUCUAAAAUACCUCAAAAUUCUGCCACAUGCAUAUUUUUUUAAUCAAAUAUAAACAGUACCCUUGACUAUUAAAAAAAAAUUAAUGUGAGGAGUUCCCGUCGUGGCUCAGAGGUUAACGAAUCCGACUAGGAACCAUG